rnacentral:lncRNA from 1 species
GAGCAGCCAGACCUGGAGGGCUUGGGUAAAAAUGGCUGAAUAUUUAGCUUCGAUAUUCGGGACUGAGAAGGACAACCCUGCCCUCUGAGCUCAGGCCCCGCCCCUUUUAAAUUCUGUGCAGACCAUAGUGCUGCUCAACCUGUACCGGAAUCCACAGAACACAGCCCAAACUGCAGACGGAUCACACUGAGGUGUUCACAGAACUGCAGGAGAAGUAUGGGGAGAUUGAAGAGAUGAAUGUGUGCGACAACCUUGGGGACCAC